GGUAAUGUUCCUCGAUAACCAGUCUACCAAGUCAAGGCAGGGCUAGUUUAUUUAGAAAAUGAGAAUAGGAAAACGUCAGAUCAAUAAUUUCGAAACGUGUUAGCUGCGUGGUGAUUUCGAUUUAUUAAAAUUUCUAAUAUACAGAUUGUUACAAGUUCCGUUUAUAGUUAUUUGAAUAUUACCAACAGAAAAGUCGUAAGUUAGAUCAUUUUUAAUGUGAGUUGAAUUCUAUUUAAUAUUAUAUUUCUGUUCAGGCUAUAAAGGAGCAAAAACAACUCGUAUAAAUAAAUUUAUCGCUUUGCACGAGGUGAAGAAAACACUAAAUUAGUGAGUAUAUUUUCAACCUUUUAUCAACUGCUUAACUAACAGAAAUUGUAAUUUUAGUUUGAGCCGCAUUAAAAUAAUAAGUCGCUGCAAAUAAAAGUGUAUCUCUCAAAAGAUCCGAACAAACUCAAAUAAUUUACGGAUCUAACCUCAAAAUGAGCGAAACAUCCAACCUUACACUUACACCAUGCGCAGCCUGUUGCCAAACAUCCACAGUGAACGAGGAAAUGAUAUGUUGCGAUUCCUGUGACCAGUGGUAUCACACCCGUUGCGUGAGUGUAACAUCGUCAAAGGAUUACGAAGGCAAAAAAUGGUUCUGUCCGCAACCCGAAUGUAAGCGCAAACGUCGAGAAUAUCUUGCUCAGGAAACUGCUUCUAAAAAGUCAUCAGCAGAUCCGAGAAAAGGCUCCGCAACGGGUGAUAUUCCUGAAAAGUCCGGCACAAAGACUGGAACAAAGGCUGGAAGCAAAUCCGGAUCAUCCGGUUCCACUCUUUCGCAAACACUACAGCAGUUAGAGGAGGAACAAAGGGACCUUGAACGUGAAAUGGAUGAACAGAAGAUUAUUUCUGAAAAGCGCAUGCAGAUUGCCAAAUCCUUGAAAGAAAGAGAGCUUCAAAUGCAAAAGGAUAUUCGGGAAAGAGAGUUCCAGCAGGAACAAGAACUUCUGAGGAAAACACUCGAAGACGAAAAAAGGCAUUUGGAAAAUAUGCGAAAACUGCGGAACUCUUUCGAACAGGAAGUGGAUUCGGUAAGAAAGGAGAUUCUAUAUCUAAACGCUCAAAGUACGGCGCUAAAUGAAACCGAGCUUUUAGACCGACCGGCAGGGUCAGAUAGAUCACUACGUGUUGAACCAAAUAACUUACCAUCGAUAAGAGCGCUGAACCAAACUACGACCGUCAACAAGAUGCUUCCUGAUCAGGAGAGUGUAAGAGAUUCCGAGCAUUCAAAUAGCGAAUCCGAUGAGAGCAGCGGAAAGGAGGAUGACGAAACCCCAAGGCCAUACGGGUUGGGGCCUUCUCGACCAGGACCAUCACGUGCUCAACUUACAGCGAGGAACGGUCUAACGAAGAAGCUACCGAUAUUCACGGGCCGUCCUGAGGAAUGGCCUCUCUUUUCUAGUGCUUUUCAAGUGUCCACGGAAGCAUGUGGAUUCACAGAAGUCGAGAACCUCGUUAGGCUUCAGGAUAGCCUCAAGGGUCAGGCAUUAGAAAGCGUCAGGGGAAAGCUUCAUCUCCCUAAAUCUGUUCCAAAGAUCAUGGCAAAAUUGCGCAUGCUGUAUGGGCGGCCUGAAUUGAUUUUACAAAGCUAUUUGGAAAGAGUACGGAAAUUAGAAAACCCGAAAGCCGAUAAGUUAGCAUCUUACGUUCCUUUCACUAACGCAGUAGAGGAACUGUGUGAGCACUUAGAAGCAGCUGAACUCACACAACAUUUAAAUAAUCCCACUCUUAUGCAGGACUUAGUUAACAAGUUACCAGCAAACGAUAAGCGUGCUUGGGUCCGGUACAAAAAAAGGAAGUCGGAGGUAACCCUUCGAACGUUAACGGAUUUUUUAUCGAAGAUCGUUGAGGAAGCUUGCGAAGCCAGUGUUUCGUUGGAUUUCAAACUUGAAAGUCGACCCGCCCCCUGUAGUAAUACACCCAAAGCCAGAGGGAAGGAGAAGCAUGGUAUGUACACCCAUAUUAAUGUACCGGAUAAUUCGCUGUACGGUGUUAGUAACACUUCAGCAGUUGGAAAGAAGUCGUCAUUGAAGCCUUGUCGCGUAUGUCAACGCACGGAUCACCGUCUGAGAUUUUGCCAGGAUUUUAAACAGCUGAGCUAUAAUGAUCGGGUACAAUUGGUUGACAAAUGGAAACUGUGUAGAACGUGUUUGAAUGACCACGGAAAUGCUACUUGUAAAUUCAAAAUUAUCUGCAACGUGGGUGGUUGUCGAGCUACACAUAAUUCCCUGCUGCACCCCGCAGAUUCUGCUUUUCUAAACGCACAUUUCAAAGCUCCAACUGCUACUCUUUUCCGCAUGGUGCCAGUCACGCUCUACUCUGAACAACGCACUGUAAAAACUUUGGCAUUUUUGGACGAAGGAGCCGCGGUGACUUUGAUGGAAUCGAAUUUGGCCAAGUUACUUGGAGUGACGGGGCCGAUCCAGCCAUUAACGAUAUCCUGGACUGCCGAUGUGACCCGGGUAGAAAAAGAUUCAAUGUGUAUCAAUCUGUGGAUUUCAGAUCAACAAUCCACUGAAGUUUUACUAAUUCGAUCGAUUCAGACCGUCGACAAACUGAUGUUGCCGAAACAAUCGUUAAAUGCAAAUGAAGUUUCCAAAAGUUUCGAGCACUUAGAAGGCCUACCUAUUGUAUCCUAUAAAGGUGAAAGACCAGGACUGUUGAUAGGAUUGAACAAUCUCCAUUUAUUCUCUCCUAUUGAGUCGAAAAUAGGUCAGGAAGGACAACCUAUUGCUGUAAGGUCCAAGCUAGGUUGGGCAGUUUAUGGGCCAUCGAACCAUUUCCCUGAACAGAAUGGGUUUUUCGGAUAUCAUGCAAGGAUCAGUAAUGCGGAUAUCUACAACAUACUAAAAACAUCAUAUGCUUUGGAAGAGCCUAGUGCUAGUGUCGUAUGUGAAUCUGACGAUGAGAAGCGAGCGCGAGAAAUCUUAGAAUCCACCACGGUCCGGGUCGGAAACCGUUUUGAAACUGGACUUUUGUGGAGGUGUGAUGAUCCAGUUCUACCCAGCAGCUACGACAUGGCAAAAAAGAGGAUGAUUGCAUUGGAAAGAAAGUUGGCUAAAACUCCGGAGUUGUUCCAAAAUGUGUGUGACCAAAUCGAAGAAUAUCAGCGCAAAGGAUAUGCACACAAGGCGUCUGUGGAAGAAUUGGCCACCACAGGAAACAACAAAAUAUGGUAUCUUCCAAUCAACAUAGUGUUAAAUCCCAAAAAACCAAAUAAGGUCAGGCUGGUGUGGGACGCGGCUGCCUCUGUUGACGGUAUUUCGCUAAACUCGCAACUUCUCAAGGGUCCCGAUCUUUUGACUCCUCUUACCUCCGUCAUAUGUCAUUUCCGGGAGAAAAGAAUUGCCUUCGGUGGGGACAUCCGAGAGAUGUACCACCAAGUGCAAAUAAGAAGUUCGGACAAGCAAUUCCAAAGAUUUCUCUUCCGGACAAACCCAAGCUUACCACCUACCACAUACGUGAUGGACGUAGCCACUUUCGGGUCCGCGAGCUCGCCGUGCUCAGCCCAGUUCGUUAAGAACCUGAACGCCAAAGACUUCAUGAAACGAUUCCCUGAAGCUGCACGGGCGAUCAUCGAUAAACAUUAUGUCGACGAUUAUUACGACGCUGCUGACACAGAAGAUGAAGCGAUAAGACGAGCCGAAGAGGUAAAGUUUAUUCAUUCCCAGGGUGGUUUCCAUAUUACCAACUGGGUUUCAAAUUCAGAGCUUUUCCUGAAAUGUCUUGGAGCAGACAACGGCGAUCGAGAAAUUCAUUUCAACAGUGAUAAACUUACCGAAAAUGAAAGAGUGCUUGGAAUUAUUUGGAAUCCUCGACAAGAUGAGUUUUCGUUCUCCGUAAAAUACCGCGAAGAGCUGCAACCGUACAUUCUGGGAAAAAAGGUACCCACUAAGAGAAUUGUUCUGAGCUGUGUGAUGUCAUUUUUCGACCCUCAAGGAUUUUUGGCACCAUUUACAAUUCAUGGAAGAGCACUCAUCCAGGAUCUGUGGCGCACAGGGUGCGCAUGGGAUGACGAAAUUGAUGCUCAAAGUCUUUCCAAAUGGAACCGGUGGAUAGGCCUCAUUCCAGCUGUGGAAAGUGUUCGAGUUCCGAGGUGCUAUUUAGGAGGAAACCAUUCAAACAAAAUAGAAUCGUUGCAGUUGCACAUUUUUACAGACGCCAGUGAGCACGCCUACGGCUGUGUGGCGUAUUUUCGAAUAAAGUUUGGAAAAGACGUAAAAUGCUCUCUGGUUACUUCCCGGAUUAAGGUGGCACCGUUGAAAAUACAAUCCAUUCCGCGGUUGGAACUGAUGGCGGCCACAAAAGGAGCACAACUGCUAGAGUUCGUUGUUUCAAAUCACUCUUUACGCAUUGACAAAUGUUUCCUAUGGACAGAUUCACAAACGGUCUUAAGCUGGAUUCGUUCGGAUGAGCGGAAUUAUAACAAGUUCGUUGGGCUUCGCAUUGGCCAAAUAUUGGAAUCGACGAACGUAAUGGAUUGGAACUGGAUACCGUCCAAGUUGAAUAUCGCUGAUAGUCUCACCAAGUGGGGCCAAGGACCGCCUUUAGAAUCAGACGGAGUCUGGUUUAUGGGGCCACAUUUUCUCUACGAACCGGAAGCAGCAUGGCCACGACAGCAGCUGCCUGAGCCGAACACAACAGUUGAAUUGCGGCCAGCGCUGUUGCAUCACGAUAUCGUUUUCACGGAACCUUUGAUCGGUGUGGAAAAUUUCUCUCGCUGGACAAAAUUGGUAAGAGUUUUGGCUUUAGUUUGUCGAUAUGUAAACAAUUGUAAAAGAAAAGCUGAAGGCGAACCCAUAUUCACGCUGAAAGCAAACGAUACACUAUGCAAACUGAUAAAAUGUGAGAUGAAGGUUAUACAGCAGCCGUUACACAAAACUGAGUUUCAGCAAGCGGAAAAUAUCAUCUGGAAAAUAGCACAGAAAGAAGCAUUUCCUGAUGAAAUGAAAAUUUUGAUAAAAGCAAAUUCUAAGAAAGAUAACCAACAAAACCAUAUCGUAAAAUCAAGUUGUCUCUACAAAUUAAGUCCAUUUCUCGAUGAAGCAGGUGUCCUACGUAUGGGAGGACGAUUGAAUUCCGAUAAUCUACCCUUUGAUUUUCGCUACCCUAUAAUUUUGCCAAAACGAAACAAAAUUACCCAAUUGUUGAUUCUCAACAUUCAUUCCAAACUGGGUCACUCGCACAGAGAGACAGUAUACAGUGAACUACGAAAACAAUUUUAUAUACCGAACCUUCGAGCUGAAAUAUCACAGGUAAUGAAAAAUUGCAAUUGGUGCAGGGUGUAUCGUUGUAAACCAAAAGCUCCACAGAUGGCACCACUACCCGAACAACGAACAAGACCGAGUUUACGACCAUUCAGUGCAGUGGGUGUGGACUAUUUAGGACCAAUCGAAGUCACAGUAGGUCGUCGCAAGGAAAAAAGGUGGAUAUCACUGUUCACUUGUUUGGCAGUUCGUGCAAUACAUGUGGAGGUUGUACAUAGUUUGGACAGUAAAUCGUGCCUUAUGGCUCUCCGACGUUUUAUGUGCAAACAUGGAGUUCCUGAUGAGUUCUUCUCGGACAACGGAACCAAUUUUCGUGGAGCAAAUAGAGUGCUGAAUGAAAUCAAAGAAGAUAUCAAUUUGUCGUGUGCGGAAAAGGUAAACAGCUCAAAAACAGUGUGGCAUUUUAAUCCUCCUGGUACGCCCCAUAUGGGGGGCAUAUGGGAGCGUAUGGUUCGUUCCCUGAAAGAAGCUAUGAAAGCAUUAGACGAUGGUCGAAAGCUCGAUGACGAGAUUCUUCUCACAACAUUGGCAGAAGCGGUUGAUAUGAUUAACUGUCGCCCGUUGACGUACAUGCCACAGGAGUCGCCCUACGCUGUAGAAGACGGCCCUCUGACGCCAAACCACUUCAUGCGCGGUGUAGUCAAAGCUGAAGAUUAUGAUGUAGACGAGUCUGUGAGUUUUGCAAAUGCUCUGCGUAAUACGUAUAAAAGAUCGCAGUAUCUAGCAAACGAGAUGUGGAAGAGGUGGUACAAGGAGUACUUGCCAACCAUCAACUGUCGAACAAAGUGGUUUGAGAAAACCAAACCGAUCCAGAAGGACGACUUAGUUUUCAUCGUGAAUGACUCCAACCGGAAGAAAUGGAUUCGAGGAAUCGUCGAGCAGGUGAUACCAGGUGCAGAUGGACAAAUCCGGCAAGCGAUGGUGAGAACCAAUGGUGGAACGCAUAGGCGAGCGGUGACGAAUCUGGCGGUGUUGGAAAUCUGUUGCGGAAACUCUGGAUCACCAGGUGGAACCGAACCAGGAGUUACGGGUUGGGGAGUUGUCAACACCACUGGGUAAUGUUCCUCGAUAACCAGUCUACCAAGUCAAGGCAGGGCUAGUUUAUUUAGAAAAUGAGAAUAGGAAAACGUCAGAUCAAUAAUUUCGAAACGUGUUAGCUGCGUGGUGAUUUCGAUUUAUUAAAAUUUCUAAUAUACAGAUUGUUACAAGUUCCGUUUAUAGUUAUUUGAAUAUUACCAACAGAAAAGUCGCUAUAAAGGAGCAAAAACAACUCGUAUAAAUAAAUUUAUCGCUUUGCACGAGGUGAAGAAAACACUAAAUUAGUGAGUAUAUUUUCAACCUUUUAUCA